rnacentral:rRNA from 1 species
GUGCCAGCAGCCGCGGUAAUACGGAGGGUGCAAGCGUUAUCCGGAUUCACUGGGUUUAAAGGGUGCGUAGGCGGAUCGGUAAGUCAGAGGUGAAAGCCCCGAGCUCAACUCGGGAACUGCCUUUGAUACUGUCGGUCUUGAGUAUAGUUGAAGUAGGCGGAAUGAGUCGUGUAGCGGUGAAAUGCAUAGAUAUGACUCAGAACACCGAUUGCGAAGGCAGCUUGCUAAACUAUCACUGACGCUGAGGCACGAAAGCGUGGGUAGCAAACAGGAUUAGAUACCCUGGUAGUCCACGCCCUAAACGAUGAUUACUCGACAUAUGCGAUACACUAUAUGUGUCCAAGCGAAAGCGUUAAGUAAUCCACCUGGGGAGUACGUUCGCAAGAAUGAAACUUAAAUGAAUUGGCGGGG